CUAAGCGUACACGGUGGAUGCCCUGGCAGUCAGAGGCGAUGAAGGGCGUACUAAUCUGCGAUAAGCGCCGGUAAGGUGAUAUGAACCGUUAUAACCGGCGAUACCCGAAUGGGGAAACCCAGUGUGAUUCGUCACACUAUCAUUAACUGAAUCCAUAGGUUAAUGAGGCGAACCGGGGGAACUGAAACAUCUAAGUACCCCGAGGAAAAGAAAUCAACCGAGAUUCCCCCAGUAGCGGCGAGCGAACGGGGAGGAGCCCAGAGCCUGAAUCAGCAUGUGUGUUAGUGGAAGCGUCUGGAAAGGCGCGCGAUACAGGGUGACAGCCCCGUACACAAAAGCGCAUGUGCUGUGAGCUCGAUGAGUAGGGCGGGACACGUGGUAUCCUGUCUGAAUAUGGGGGGACCAUCCUCCAAGGCUAAAUACUCCUGACUGACCGAUAGUGAACCAGUACCGUGAGGGAAAGGCGAAAAGAACCCCGGCGAGGGGAGUGAAAAAGAACCUGAAACCGUGUACGUACAAGCAGUGGGAGCACAGGUUUACCUGUGUGACUGCGUACCUUUUGUAUAAUGGGUCAGCGACUUAUAUUCUGUAGCAAGGUUAACCGAAUAGGGGAGCCGGAGGGAAACCGAGUCUUAAUUGGGCGUUAAGUUGCAGGGUAUAGACCCGAAACCCGGUGAUCUAGCCAUGGGCAGGUUGAAGGUUGGGUAACACUAACUGGAGGACCGAACCGACUAAUGUUGAAAAAUUAGCGGAUGACCUGUGGCUGGGGGUGAAAGGCCAAUCAAACCGGGAGAUAGCUGGUUCUCCCCGAAAGCUAUUUAGGUAGCGCCUCGUGAAUUCAUCUCCGGGGGUAGAGCACUGUUUCGGCUAGGGGGCCAUCCCGGCUUACCAACCCGAUGCAAACUGCGAAUACCGGAGAAUGUUAUCACGGGAGACACACGGCGGGUGCUAACGUCCGUCGUGAAGAGGGAAACAACCCAGACCGCCAGCUAAGGUCCCAAAGUCAUGGUUAAGUGGGAAACGAUGUGGGAAGGCCCAGACAGCCAGGAUGUUGGCUUAGAAGCAGCCAUCAUUUAAAGAAAGCGUAAUAGCUCACUGGUCGAGUCGGCCUGCGCGGAAGAUGUAACGGGGCUAAACCAUGCACCGAAGCUGCGGCAGCGACACUGUGUGUUGUUGGGUAGGGGAGCGUUCUGUAAGCCUGCGAAGGUGGCCUGUGAGGGUUGCUGGAGGUAUCAGAAGUGCGAAUGCUGACAUAAGUAACGAUAAAGCGGGUGAAAAGCCCGCUCGCCGGAAGACCAAGGGUUCCUGUCCAACGUUAAUCGGGGCAGGGUGAGUCGACCCCUAAGGCGAGGCCGAAAGGCGUAGUCGAUGGGAAACGGGUUAAUAUUCCCGUACUUGGUGUUACUGCGAAGGGGGGACGGAGAAGGCUAUGUUGGCCGGGCGACGGUUGUCCCGGUUUAAGCGUGUAGGUGUGUGUUCCAGGUAAAUCCGGUUCACUUUAACACUGAGGCGUGACGACGAGGCACUACGGUGCUGAAGCAACAAAUGCCCUGCUUCCAGGAAAAGCCUCUAAGCAUCAGGUAACAUCAAAUCGUACCCCAAACCGACACAGGUGGUCAGGUAGAGAAUACCAAGGCGCUUGAGAGAACUCGGGUGAAGGAACUAGGCAAAAUGGUGCCGUAACUUCGGGAGAAGGCACGCUGACACGUAGGUGAAGUGAUUUACUCAUGGAGCUGAAGUCAGUCGAAGAUACCAGCUGGCUGCAACUGUUUAUUAAAAACACAGCACUGUGCAAACACGAAAGUGGACGUAUACGGUGUGACGCCUGCCCGGUGCCGGAAGGUUAAUUGAUGGGGUCAGCGCAAGCGAAGCUCCUGAUCGAAGCCCCGGUAAACGGCGGCCGUAACUAUAACGGUCCUAAGGUAGCGAAAUUCCUUGUCGGGUAAGUUCCGACCUGCACGAAUGGCGUAAUGAUGGCCAGGCUGUCUCCACCCGAGACUCAGUGAAAUUGAACUCGCUGUGAAGAUGCAGUGUACCCGCGGCAAGACGGAAAGACCCCGUGAACCUUUACUAUAGCUUGACACUGAACAUUGAGCCUUGAUGUGUAGGAUAGGUGGGAGGCUUUGAAGUGUGGACGCCAGUCUGCAUGGAGCCGACCUUGAAAUACCACCCUUUAAUGUUUGAUGUUCUAACGUGGACCCGUUACCCGGGUUGCGGACAGUGUCUGGUGGGUAGUUUGACUGGGGCGGUCUCCUCCUAAAGAGUAACGGAGGAGCACGAAGGUUGGCUAAUCCUGGUCGGACAUCAGGAGGUUAGUGCAAUGGCAUAAGCCAGCUUGACUGCGAGCGUGACGGCGCGAGCAGGUGCGAAAGCAGGUCAUAGUGAUCCGGUGGUUCUGAAUGGAAGGGCCAUCGCUCAACGGAUAAAAGGUACUCCGGGGAUAACAGGCUGAUACCGCCCAAGAGUUCAUAUCGACGGCGGUGUUUGGCACCUCGAUGUCGGCUCAUCACAUCCUGGGGCUGAAGUAGGUCCCAAGGGUAUGGCUGUUCGCCAUUUAAAGUGGUACGCGAGCUGGGUUUAGAACGUCGUGAGACAGUUCGGUCCCUAUCUGCCGUGGGCGCUGGAGAACUGAGGGGGGCUGCUCCUAGUACGAGAGGACCGGAGUGGACGCAUCACUGGUGUUCGGGUUGUCAUGCCAAUGGCACUGCCCGGUAGCUAAAUGCGGAAGAGAUAAGUGCUGAAAGCAUCUAAGCACGAAACUUGCCCCGAG
rnacentral:rRNA from 1 species